CACAUGCAAGUCGAACGAGAAAGUGGAGCAAUCCAUGAGUAAAGUGGCGACCGGGUGAGUAACACGUGACUAACCUACCUCCGAGUGGGGAAUAACUCCGGGAAACCGGGGCUAAUACCGCAUAACAUCGCGAGAUCAAAGCAGCAAUGCGCUUGGAGAGGGGGUCGCGGCUGAUUAGCUAGUUGGCGGGGUAACGGCCCACCAAGGCGAAGAUCGGUAUCCGGCCUGAGAGGGCGCACGGACACACUGGAACUGAAACACGGCCCAGACUCCUACGGGAGGCAGCAGUGGGGAAUUUUGCGCAAUGGGGGAAACCCUGACGCAGCAACGCCGCGUGGAGGAUGAAGCCCUUUGGGGCGUAAACUCCUUUCGACCCAGACGAUAAUGACGGUACGAGUGGAAGAAGCACCGGCUAACUCUGUGCCAGCAGCCGCGGUAAUACAGAGGGUGCAAGCGUUGUUCGGAAUUAUUGGGCGUAAAGGGCGCGUANGCGGUGCGGUAAGUCACCUGUGAAAUCUCCCGGCUUAACCGGGAGCCUGCAGGCGAAACUACCGUGCUGGAGUGUGGGAAAGGUGC
rnacentral:rRNA from 1 species